rnacentral:rRNA from 1 species
UACGUAGGGGGCGAGCGUUGCCCGAAUUUACUGGGCGUAAAGCGCACGUAGGCGGCUUCGUAAGUCUGGUGUGAAAUCUCACGGCUCAACCGGGAGGCUGCACCAGAUACUGCGAAGCUCGAGGACGGGAGAGGAGAUCGGAAUUCCCGGUGUAGCGGUGAAAUGCAUUGAUAUCGGGAGGAACACCAGUGGCGAAGGCGGAUCUCUGGCCCGUUGCUGACGCUGAGGUGCGAAAGCUGUUGGAGCGAAAGGG